GACGAACGCGGGCGGCGUGCUUAACACAUGCAAGUCGAACGCUGAAGCUCAGCUUGCUGGGUGGAUGAGUGGCGAACGGGUGAGUAACACGUGAGUAACCUGCCCCCUUCUUUGGGAUAACGCCCGGAAACGGGUGCUAAUACUGGAUAUUCACUGAUCUUCGCAUGGGGGUUGGUGGAAAGGUUUGUUCUGGUGGGGGAUGGGCUCGCGGCCUAUCAGCUUGUUGGUGGGGUGAUGGCCUACCAAGGCUUUGACGGGUAGCCGGCCUGAGAGGGUGACCGGUCACAUUGGGACUGAGAUACGGCCCAGACUCCUACGGGAGGCAGCAGUGGGGAAUAUUGCACAAUGGGCGCAAGCCUGAUGCAGCGACGCCGCGUGAGGGAUGGAGGCCUUCGGGUUGUAAACCUCUUUCGCUCAUGGUCAAGCCGCAACAGUGGUUGUGGUGAGGGUAGUGGGUAAAGAAGCGCCGGCUAACUACGUGCCAGCAGCCGCGGUAAUACGUAGGGCGCGAGCGUUGUCCGGAAUUAUUGGGCGUAAAGGGCUUGUAGGCGGUUGGUCGCGUCUGCCGUGAAAUCCUCUGGCUUAACUGGGGGCGUGCGGUGGGUACGGGCUGACUUGAGUGCGGUAGGGGAGACUGGAACUCCUGGUGUAGCGGUGGAAUGCGCAGAUAUCAGGAAGAACACCGGUGGCGAAGGCGGGUCUCUGGGCCGUUACUGACGCUGAGGAGCGAAAGCGUGGGGAGCGAACAGG
rnacentral:rRNA from 1 species